rnacentral:rRNA from 1 species
GGAUUAGAUACCCUGGUAGUCCACGCCGUAAACGAUGUAUGCUAGUUGUCGGGUUAUUUUUAAUUCGGUGACGCAGCUAACGCAUUAAGCAUACCGCCUGGGGAGUACGGUCGCAAGAUUAAAACUCAAAGGAAUUGACGGGGGCCCGCACAAGCGGUGGAGCAUGUGGUUUAAUUCGACGCAACGCGCAGAACCUUACCAGCCCUUGACAUCCCGAUCGCGAAUAGUGGAGACACUUUUCUUCAGUUAGGCUGGAUCGGUGACAGGUGCUGCAUGGCUGUCGUCAGCUCGUGCCG